rnacentral:rRNA from 1 species
UACGAAGGGUGCAAACGUUGCUCGGAAUUAUUGGGCGUAAAGCGCACGUAGGCGGCUUAGCAAGUUGAAUGUGAAAUCCCUCGGCUUAACCAAGGAAGUGCAUCCAAAACUGCUGAGCUUGAGUACUUAAGAGGAUCGCGGAAUUCCUGGUGUAGCGGUGAAAUGCGCAGAUAUCAGGAGGAACACCAAUUGCGAAGGCAGCUCGCUGGAACGUAACUGACGCUGAGACGCGAAAGCGUGGGGAGCAAACAGG